GUUUGUCGUCUGCUGGUACAGUGCUUCCCAGAAAGAAAUUUGGGCUAGGGAACGAGCUAAGUACGCGGGAAUUUUGCAUAGACCAGAACAAAGAUGAUAGUCUGAUGGCGCAAGAGCUGGGCGGCACAUUCAAAUUUCCCAUCCGAGCUCUGAAUAUUUGCCGGAUAGCCAAAGACUUACGUGGUCUAACAUUGUUAUGGUGUCUCACCAAACACAAGGCGUCGCUUCUUUUAAGUUGGUGGACCGACGAUUAAAAUGACGAUCGUUGAAGAAUUUUUCUCAUCGGAAUUUCUACAACGAACGCAUUAACUCGAUUUUAAAUCAUCGUCAAUAGCCUUUCAAUGAUAGCACAUCUACUAUUAUAAGAUCGUGACUUUUCAAUGGGACGAUUUAGAUUAUUUGCGAUAUGUUACUUUAUAACUAUUAAAUUAGGGAAAUGGCCAAUACUUUUCCAACGAUUUAACAUAACAAGACGCCCAGUUGUCUAAACCGUUGUACCAAUAAGAUGACCAGUAAACGGCCAACACAACCUAUUCUUUCCUUCGUAUGUUCAAAUCCUGCUGAAGGAAAACCCCCUAAUUGUGGUUGGUCGACAAGCUACUUGUUUUUUCAGAUUCUGCUUGGGUACUCACUUACGAAAAGUUGCAUUGUUGAAUAAUUGGCCCUGCCAAAAACAACGCUUAAGAAUAACUUAUUGUUAUAUUACUUUAUGGUAGCGUCGAGAUGCCUGAAGGCACUUGUUAAAGUCAGAGAUUGAAAAUAACCAUUACACCCGGUAUCGCCAACGACGAGCACUACAAUAUUGAAAUGGUACGCGUAUCAAUGUUCGCCCUAUUUGCUAUAGCAGCUCCAUGUUUCACUAUGGGCUCACCGGUCAAAGUCUGGUUCAGCAAUAAUCUUCAUAGUUCACACGUGGAUCUUACUAAUGUCGACGUCAGCAACGUGGCGCUUGGUGAAACUACGAAAAUCAUGUACAAUCUGGGGCGUCUGCAUGUGAUUUUGAAAAUUUUAGCAUCAAACUACCACGCAGCAAGCGAACCAGGUCCGGCUCUCGUAGCUAUUCGUUUUGAAGCCAGAAGAACUAUGCCAUCGAGAAGACAAUGAUCAAGAAGAUAAUGCGCACUUCAUGAAAACUCAGGCACCCAGUGAUACCCGGUCACUACGCUGACAGUAAUCUCAAUUUCCUGCUGCCAGAAUUCGGUGGCUUGAUCAGACACGUCACUUCCAGUCGGGACAAAAUUGUUACCAUCUAUAUCAACGAAAGCGAUAAAGUAAUCCCCUGCAUGACAUUCCCGAUUCAGGCCAAACGGAGAGCUGAAAAUAUUUGCACAGGGCGCGACUACCAUCGAACAUGACGACGCGACCGCUAUUGAGAAGCUCUUUGAUUUGGCUGGUGUAGCUAAUUUGAGCAUUGACAACAACGAGAUCGAUCGGGCCUUGCUAUGGUAAACGACACAGCCCAUCAAGUCCGCUACGUUAACGUGGCAGAGCCUGGUAAUCAUCAUGAAUUUGCUACCUGAUUGGAACGAGCAGUGAUGACUACGGAUACCCUGCUCGGGACAAUUCUGCCGAGAAUAAUUUACCGACUGUUGGAUUAACUGAAAUGGCCGGCGUUCAGACCCGGGAACUUGAGCACUCGCCUGCAAGUCAAGUGUAGUCGAAGUAAAAUCGGAUGUGGCAAAGUAAGUUAAUCAUCACCUCGAAGUCGUAAAGUUGCUCUUUAAUUUCAAUAGAUCGUAGCAUUAACGGCUGAUAGUAUCUACUGUGCCAAUAGGAGCAACUCUGUUUGUUCUUUACCUUUUUUAAAGGGGGCCAAUCAACAUCGUUUAAGAAGCAUCGUUGGACCUACCUUAAAAAGCAUGCUAUCUAUAUACAGGUACAGCUGAUUUUUAUCAUUAAAGCUGAAGGCACAAAUAAGUCUUUAUACCUAUGUCCAAAUACAAGAACAUAGGCUUUACAAUUAAAAUCGUAGCAUCAGGAACGCCUAGACAAAGGUCCGCAUUAUG
rnacentral:lncRNA from 1 species